rnacentral:tRNA from 1 species
CAGAUAUAGUUUAUAAAAUACUUGUUUUAGGCACAGGAGAUACUAUCUUUAGUUUUCUGA